rfam:Camelus ferus unplaced genomic scaffold scaffold1558, whole genome shotgun sequence.
GAGGAUAGAGUGCGGUGGUAGAGUGCGUGCUUAGCAUGCAUGAGGUCCUGGGUUCAGUCCCCAGUAUCUCCU